rnacentral:rRNA from 2 species
GGAAACAGAUGCUAAUACCGCAUAGAUCCAAGAACCGCAUGGUUCUGGGCUGAAAGAUGGCGUAAGCUAUCGCUGUUGGAUGGACCCGCGGCGUAUUAUCUAGUUGGUGAGGUAAUGGCUCACCGAGGCGAUGAUACGUAGCCGAACUGAGAGGUUGAUGGGCCACAUUGGGACUGAGACACGGCCCAAACUCCUACGGGAGGCAGCAGUAGGGAAUCUUCCACAAUGGACGCAAGUCUGAUGGAGCAACGCCGCGUGAGUGAAGAAGGCUUUCGGGUCGUAAAACUCUGUUGUUGGAGAAGAAUGGUCGGCAGAGUAACUGUUGUCGGCGUGACGGUAU